rnacentral:rRNA from 1 species
AAGCAGUCCUCAAGGGCAUUCCCGUUGAUCAAGAGCGAAAGUUAAGGGUUCGAAGACGAUCAGAUACCGUCGUAGUCUUAACUAUAAAUGAUACUGACCAGAGAUAGGAUUCUGUCCAUCUCGACUUCUCCUGGAUCUUAGGGAAACUAGAGUCUUUGAGUUCUGGGGGGAGUAUGGUCGCAAGGCUGAAACUUAAAGGAAUUGACGGAAGGGCACACAAAGAGUGGAACCUGCGGCUUAAUUUGACUCAACACGGGAAAACUCACCAGGUCCAGAUACACGUAUGAAAGACAAGCUGAAAGACUUUUCUCAAUGAUGUAAGUGGUGGUGCAUGGUCGUUCGUAGUUCGUGGAUUGAUUUGUCUGGUCUAUUCCGAUAACGAGCGAGACCCCGGCGUUCCUAAUAGGGGCGGCAGCCCGGCUCGCCGCAAGGCUUGCUAGCAGCCGCUUAAGAUUUACUUCUUAGACGUAUCAGAGCCGAUAAGGUUCUUGAAAUGGGUUAAUAACAGGUCAGUCAUGCCCUUAGAUGUUCUGGGCCGCACGCGCGUUACAAUGGCACGUAUAGAAAGUGCCUACAAAGGGCGUAUCCGGAGCCUAACGGUUCCGGUAACCCUUAGUCCCUGCCUUGACUGGGACAGACUAUUGCAAUUAUUGGUCUCAAACGAGGAAUUUUUAGUAGUCGCAGGUCAUUAACCUGCGACGAAUGCGUCCCUGCCC